GACGAACGCUGGCGGCGUGCUUAACACAUGCAAGUCGAACGGAAAGGCCCUGCUUUUGUGGGGUGCUCGAGUGGCGAACGGGUGAGUAACACGUGAGUAACCUGCCCUUUACUUUGGGAUAACUUCAGGAAACUGGGGCUAAUACCGGAUAGGAGCUCCUGCUGCAUGGUGGGGGUUGGAAAGUUUCGGCGGUUGGGGAUGGACUCGCGGCUUAUCAGCUUGUUGGUGGGGUAGUGGCUUACCAAGGCUUUGACGGGUAGCCGGCCUGAGAGGGUGACCGGCAACAUGGGGACUGAGAUACGGACCAGAAUCCUACGGGAGGCAGCAGUGGGGAAUAUUGCACAAUGGGAGGAAGCCUGAUGCAGCAAAGCCGCGUGCGGGAUGACGGCCUUCGGGUUGUAAACCGAUUUCGCCUGUGACGAAGCGUGAGUGACGGUAAUGGGUAAAGAAGCACCGGCUAACUACGUG
rnacentral:rRNA from 1 species